rnacentral:tRNA from 1 species
GGCUCGGAAGCUUAGUUGGUAAAGCGCUCGUCUAGCAUACAAGAGUCCUGGGUUCAAAUCCCAGCCGAGCAC